CGCACCGAAACCCCGAGGCUUCCUCCUCCACCGCCAUUUGGUUCCCCUCCGCUCCCAUCCGCCGCCUCUGCCGAGGUCCGAGGCCUGGCAGGGCGUGGCCGCGUUGUGGGCAGCAAGGAGCGGCGCACGGGCAUGCCCUGCAUCGAGGAGGAGCUCAUGUACUUUCAAAUCGAGGAGGAACACCGCUGUUUUUCUACAUGGUGGCCGCUCCCCUCGAUCCCCUCCAUCGCCUCCGCCGCCGCCGCCGAGGUACGGGAUCGCUGCCAAGCCGAGGUACGGCAUCGACUCCAUCGCAUUCCUUCCCUGGUCACGCACCUCCCAAUUUCUUCCCUUACCCAGCUAGGGUUCUCACCCGCCGCCGCUUCCCUGCUGCUACCCGCCCCCCGAUGCCCUCCACGGACACCACCACCAUGAUGGCGGAAGGAAGAGCAAGAGGGGUCGUCGAGGUUGGGUGCCUCCGUGAGGAUGUGGCCACAACUCCUUCACUUGGUACACAUGUCGUGUUACCACCUCCGACGGCCAUGCCAACGCAUGACUCCAAACCUCAUGAAUCAUGACUCCCCUGCCCGUACCACGUCCACUACAACGUCGCCUCCUCUCACUCCUUGCCCAUGGAGCCACUCUGGUCUACACAUAUAAGCCAGACCCCUUGUGGGAUUGAACUGAAUGAUUGCCACUGUACGCAGCCUCUGGCCAUCCACUCCUCAGGCGGACACGAUGGCCUUGAUGCUGCCGGAGUUACCCCCCGACCCAAUCCUUGUGCGGAAGCCAUUGCAGUAUCGACAUCGCUGCUGUCUCAGCAGCUCCAUGCAUGAUUUGGGCACCGAUAAUUCAUGGAAGAGAACCCACAGCAACUGCAGAAGAGAAGAAGUUGGGAUCCGAGAGAUCUGGAGAGCUUAGUGCAAAAGUAAAUCAAGCAAGCCCUUUUCCUCUGAAGAAGUUUAUAUUGAGACGAAUGAAUGCCCUGCUGUCCAAUCACUUGUGACCAAAGAUUGUUGAAGUAGUGUGCUGCAAGCUGACUCCCUUACAGAUGACACUGUACAACCACUUCACGCACACCAAAAAUGUUUUUCUCGGGGAUCCUUCAUACGAGUGUAAUACUGUUGUGGAUCGGAGGAGCUCUGAGGAAGAUUGGCACCUUGAAGUGCCCUUCAACAUGGUUGAAAGGAUAUGAUGUGGAUACAUUGUAAUCUGUGGAACUAAAGGAAACCUGCAUGGUAUUCUUGUUGGACUGUUUACAGGAUAGAGGUAUUCCCUGAUGGAAUCUUGUACGCCUUUGGUGAGCCUCACUAGCUAUUCAGUAUCGAAAAAAGGAUGGAAUAUCAAGAUGGACGCCCAUAUUCUUGAGAAAUAUUAAAUGGACUUAACUCAGAUGAACACAAUAUUGCAUGAUUGUGACAUGCCAAUCGACUCUUUGGUCUUGGAGAUUAGAAGGCAUGAAGGACGUGAUCGAGCAAGUGAACAACCAGUUUAAAGAUCUAGUAAGACUACCGGCCUCGUAGAGACUUACUACUAACCUUUUAGAGAGCCAAAUAUAUUGUAUGUAAUAAAAAUAUAAGAUAUUUAUUAUUUGACUUAACUGGCAGUUCUCUACUGCCCCUCAUGUUGUCUUUAUCAUGAUACACUAUGUUGUUAUCCUUUCGUAUUAUGACAUAGUUUUACCACUCAAUCAA